CCUUAUUAUAAAUCAGUACUGUGUUAAUAAUACUGCGAUAUUAAAAGAUAGUACUGUCUUAUUAUAAAUCAGUACUACGUUAUUAUAAAAUAAUACUAUCUUGUUGCAUAAUCGUAUGAGGGUAUAAGGGUAUAACGGUUAUUUCAAUUAGAAAUGGAGAGUUAUUCUUAAUUUAUAUUUGGAAUAGAGAACUAUUUUUAAUUUAAAUUCAAAUAAAAAGAUAUUUUUAAUUUGAAAUAUAAAAUAAAUUUUUUAUCUUAUUUAUUAUUAAAUAUAUUUUUUUAAAGAAAUUAUUAUGCAAUCAAUAAUUUAAGAAAUUUUUUUUUUUAAUCUCUAAGAAUUGAAAACGUUCAUGCUUCCACAUGUUAAGUACCAGGCUUCGCUCUCACCCAAUUUAAUUUUUGUAGCGGUGCUGGCCAGGCCCAAUCAUGGCUCAUGUUAGCGGGAUGGUUGAGAUAUCAUGGGUAUCUCGAUAAGGAACCCGAGAGAAUUAUAGCUGAAUUAUUAAAAAAGAAAAACUCAAUCUUUCUUCGCCAAAGUAUGCAAGUCCGCGGCUGGGAGCCCACUUCAAAUUUAGUGAGAAAAAGUGAUUCUGUCAAACUUUUAGAAACCCUAAUCGAUUGCCAUCUCAUUAAAAAAAAAAAANAAAAAAAGAAAAAAGAAACAGCGAGUUUUCGGACUUCUCUUCACCAGUAAUGGCGGUUUGAAUGGGAAGCGCAGAGAAGAAGCAAAUCCUUGUGGCAAUAGAGAAGAAAGAACGAAAAAAAUCAAAAAUGGAUCCCAAAGCGUCGGCCAAAUCGAAGCGAAGCCACUCCCAGCAGGGCCGGAAGAACCACCAGCUGCCGGCC
rnacentral:lncRNA from 1 species